rnacentral:rRNA from 1 species
AUUGAACGCUGGCGGCAGGCCUAACACAUGCAAGUCGAACGGUAACAGGAAGAAGCUUGCUUCUUUGCUGACGAGUGGCGGACGGGUGAGUAAUGUCUGGGAAACUGCCUGAUGGAGGGGGAUAACUACUGGAAACGGUAGCUAAUACCGCAUAACGUCGCAAGACCAAAGAGGGGGACCUUCGGGCCUCUUGCCAUCGGAUGUGCCCAGAUGGGAUUAGCUAGUAGGUGGGGUAACGGCUCCCCUAGGCGACGAUCCCUAGCUGGUCUGAGAGGAUGACCAGCCACACUGGAACUGAGACACGGUCCAGGCUCCUACGGGAGGCAGCAGUGGGGAAUAUUGCACAAUGGGCGCAAGCCUGAUGCAGCCAGGCCGCGUGUAUGAAGAAGGCCUUCGGGUUGUAAAGUACUUUCAGCGGGGAGGAAGGGAGUAAAGUUAAUACCUUUGCUCAUUGACGUUACCCGCAGAAGAAGCACCGGCUAACUCCGUG